rnacentral:rRNA from 1 species
AGUGAACGCUGGCGGUAGGCCUAACACAUGCAAGUCGAACGGCAGCACAGUAAGAGCUUGCUCUUACGGGUGGCGAGUGGCGGACGGGUGAGGAAUACAUCGGAAUCUACUUUUUCGUGGGGGAUAACGUAGGGAAACUUACGCUAAUACCGCAUACGACCUACGGGUGAAAGCAGGGGAUCUUCGGACCUUGCGCGAUUGCAUGAGCCGAUGUCGGAUUAGCUAGUUGGCGGGGUAAAGGCCCACCAAGGCGACGAUCCGUAGCUGGUCUGAGAGGAUGAUCAGCCACCCUGGAACUGAGACACGGUCCAGACUCCUACGGGAGGCAGCAGUGGGGAAUAUUGGACAAUGGGCGCAAGCCUGAUCCAGCCAUACCGCGUGGGUGAAGAAGGCCUUCGGGUUGUAAAGCCCUUUUGUUGGGAAAGAAAAGCAGCAGGUUAAUACCCCGCUGUUCUGACGGUACCCAAAGAAUAAGCACCGGCUAACUUCGUG